GCAUUAUUAGAGCCCAAACUGAAAUGCAAAUGGAGAAUGGAGUAUCAGAUUCAUCCCACCUCCUUAUUUCAUUUGGUUUCAUCUCUCUCUCAAAGAGCUUCUCGCUGGAACCUUGCUCUGCCGAGCGGAGUUGUCCUUCUUGACCAAACACCACCGGUAAACCACUUCUCUCAUCCUUAUCUAUCUGAUUCUAGUCUCAAUUUCUAUCGAUCCUCCAAAAAUUCUCAAAAUCGUGCCAAAUUAACCAAGAACCCUAAAGCUUAGAAUCAAAAUUAAAUGAAGACAUGAGGGAAUCAAUCCAUUCCACAUUGGGGCUUUGAUUCCCCUCAAUGAAGGCUACAUGUUGGUAUCAAAAAUCAAGCAAACAGAGGAAGAGGUGGAAGGUGUCACCGACCUGCAAAACUGAGAUUUGUCUUGGAAGAUUUGAAGCUUAAUGAUGAUGAAGACGAAAGUCAAGAAGAGAAAUACAAAGGAAUAUUCAGAACAACGGACUCAUAGUUAAAGAUAUCUUAUUUGACGCUGAAGACAAGCAUGUCUAAAAGAAUCACUCCAAAUACUCUGGAAACUCUACAUCAUACAAAAUUCAGAACAACGGACUCAUAGUUAAAGAUAUCUUAUUUGACGCUGAAGACAAGCAUGUCUAAAAGAAUCACUCCAAAUACUCUGGAAACUCUACAUCUGAAGACAUAUGAAGAUCCUAAAUAUAAAACUCUGAAUAUCCUUAUAUCAUAAGACUUUCUAGUUGAAGACCAGUCAAAGAACUUCUGAAGAAGACACAACAGACAACUAUUCGAAGCAUACAAGAUCUGAGAAAAGAAUCUGAAUUUCAUGCACUCUGAAUCACGCCCAACAUAUCAUAAUCAAUAACUUAACAAAGAAGUAUUACAAGUAUGGUAUGAAUCUUUAUAUGGAUAAUAUUGAAUACUCUCCAAAAAUGCUAUGAAAAGGACAGUGGAAUUAAUGUCAUUAAGUCUCAUAAUUGGCAAGAUAUCAACAUUAAUGCUCUAUUCAACGGUAUCAUCUCCAAGCACUAUAAAAAAUAUCGGCUAUCAUCAUACCAAAAUAUGAAGCUAUCACACAAGAAUUCUGCAAAUCCAAUUUAAGUCAUAUGCUAAAUUCGUGUUGUAAGUCAUCACACACGAGUUGUUGCUCCAAGUAUGAUCAUUGAUCAUUGUUUUAAUUGUGUUAAUAUUGCUUAUCUAGAAGCACCAAACACAUUCUUGUAUUUCUAAAAUAGUUGUUGUAAAUUCCUCAAGUGACUAGUGAAGUCUGUAGACUUGAGAGGGCUAAGAGAUCGUUGUACUCUUAGGUGAUUGUUGUAAUCUUUCUAGAUUAUUGGAUUAAGUCCUUAUUAAAGGCGAAAUCACCUUGGCCGGGUGGACUGGAGUAACUUUAAUUUUCAAGUGAACAAGGAUAAACUUCUGUGUUGUUUGUUA